GCGAGAGUGGCGGAAUUGGUAGACGCGCUGGAUUUAGGAUCCAGUGACGAUGAGUCGUGGGGGUUCGAGUCCCCCCUCUCGCA
rnacentral:tRNA from 1 species